rnacentral:rRNA from 1 species
AUGAACCUCGCCUUCGACCGCGAGCUCAUCAGCCCGUCCAUGUACUUCGGCCUCAUGGGCGACGGCCAGCCCAUCGGACGCUACGAUGACAUGUGGCCGGCUGGCCGCAAAGCUGACAAGGAAUGCGACACCAUGCAGAAGUGCUACAUCUCGCUCUCGCAGCAGGUCAAGGAGAAGCUCGGCAAGAUCGACCCCUACUUCGUCAAGCUCGCCGACGCCAUGGUCACCUGGAUCGAGGCCUGGGACAUGCUCAACUCCAAGGACUCCAAGGAGGACGACGCCAACGGCAAGCUCAAGGGGAAGUAG